CAGUAGCCGCGGUAAAACGGAGGGAGCUAGCGUUGUUCGGAAUUACUGGGCGUAAAGCGCACGUAGGCGGCUUUGUAAGUUAGAGGUGAGAGCCUGGAGCUCAACUCCAGAAUUGCCUUUAAGACUGCAUCGCUUGAAUCCAGGAGAGGUGAGUGGAAUUCCGAGUGUAGAGGUGAAAUUCGUAGAUAUUCGGAAGAACACCAGUGGCGAAGGCGGCUCACUGGACUGGUAUUGACGCUGAGGUGCGAAAGCGUGGGGAGCAAACAGGAUUAGAUACCCCGGUAGUCCCUGUCUCUUAUAC
rnacentral:rRNA from 1 species